ensembl:snoRNA small nucleolar RNA SNORD113/SNORD114 family
UGGACCUUUGCUAACAACUGGUGAUGUCUGAGUCAAGGAUGUUGAGUAAUAUGUGUCGGGACAUCUGAGGUCCAC